rnacentral:miRNA from 1 species
UGAGGGCUAGGCUUUUAUGUAA